UGAGGAAUAUUGGUCAAUGGGCGAGAGCCUGAACCAGCCAAGUAGCGUGCAGGACGACGGCCCUAUGGGUUGUAAACUGCUUUUAUAAGGGAAUAAAGUGGGUCACGUGUGACUUUUUGCAUGUACCUUAUGAAUAAGGACCGGCUAAUUCCGUGCCAGCAGCCGCGGUAAUACGGAAGGUCCAGGCGUUAUCCGGAUUUAUUGGGUUUAAAGGGAGCGUAGGCCGCCCCUUAAGCGUGCUGUGAAAUGCCGCGGCUCGACCGUGGCACUGCAGCGCGAACUGGGGGGCUUGAGUGCACGCAACGCAGGCGGAAUUCGUGGUGUAGCGGUGAAAUGCUUAGAUAUCACGAAGAACUCCGAUUGCGAAGGCAGCUUGCGGGAGUGCGACUGACGCUGAAGCUCGAAGGUGCGGGUAUCGAACAGGAUUAGAUACCCUGGUAGU
rnacentral:rRNA from 1 species